rnacentral:rRNA from 1 species
GGUGCGAGCGUUAAUCGGAAUUACUGGGCGUAAAGCGUGCGCAGGCGGUUUGACAAGUCUGAUGUGAAAGCCCCGGGCUCAACCUGGGAACUGCGUUGGAAACUGUCAGGCUAGAGUGUGUCAGAGGGAGGUAGAAUUCCACGUGUAGCAGUGAAAUGCGUAGAGAUGUGGAGGAAUACCGAUGGCGAAGGCAGCCUCCUGGGAUAACACUGACGCUCAUGCACGAAAGCGUGGGGAGCAAACAGGAUUAGAUACCCUGGUAGUCCACGCCCUAAACGAUGUCUACUAGUUGUUGGAGGAGUGAAAUCCUUUAGUAACGCAGCUAACGCGUGAAGUAGACCGCCUGGGGAGUACGGUCGCAAGAUUAAAACUCAAAGGAAUUGACGG